rnacentral:tRNA from 1 species
GCCGGAGUGGCGGAACUGGCAGACGCGCGCGACUCAAAAUCGCGUGCCCUACGGGCUUGAGGGUUCGAGUCCCUCCUCCGGCA